rnacentral:lncRNA from 1 species
GGGGGGGGGGGGCUCGGUGGCCGAGUGGUCCAAGUAUCUAGCCUGUCAACACUUACAUGUAGGUUGUGAGUUCGAAUCCCACACGUGGCAGGUAAGCUCGACUCCAAUCUCAAUUGAAUAGAAUUAUUAGUUUUUCGUACCGAAAGUCGGUGUUUCUUUCCGGGGACUUCGGCUUCCUCCAUCAAUAUAAACUCACCACCACGAAUUAGCAUGAUAGUGUUGAAAGUGGCGUUAAAAAGCAAUCAAUCAAUCAACAAAUUAAUCAACCAAUCAUCCAUACCGGUAUAAUUAUAUAUGCAAGAGAGGAUAAUUUUGUAGCUAUCGUUAUAAAAUAUUUUUAAAUUGACUUUGAG